UCCUAUAUACGUAAUUAUAAGAGUAAGCGGUUGUGGGAUUAUGAUUGGGCAUGUAACCUUAGUUAUAGAUGGAACUUAAUGACAAUGUAGUAAUUAAAUGGACCAUUUAUAAAACCCAAAUAAAUUAAGAAGGCAUUACUCCUUCACUCUUGUUUUUGUCACCCGAAAAACACCAGGAGCAACAACAACACCAUAGUGUAGGAAGCAAGAGGAUUAUAAAAGAAGCAUAGGAACAACCCCAGAUUGGAGGAGAAACUAGUUGGGACCAUUAAUCUGAAGAAUAAGAAGGAACUACCUUGAGUUGGGCAAUCAUUAAGUUUCUGAGUGAAUGUGCAGGUGAAGCAUGUAUUUUGAGGUGGUUUAAGGGUGACCCAUUUGUGGUGAAUGUGUAUUUUGUAUCUACCUUGUUGCACUUGGGAAAAUACGUAUAUUUCCUAUGAUAUAUUUGGUAUUUUGAUGUGUAUGACAACUUUUAGUAGUAAUUAUGUAGAUGAAGAUCUUGUGAUGUAAUAAUUAGUGUUUUUU